AAUGAACGUUUGCGGCGUGCCUGAUGCAUGCAAGUCGUACGCUUCAACAAUUCGCAAGAUUUGUUGGGGAGUGGCGGACGGCUGAGUAACACGUAAGUUACCUACCUCUAAGUGGGGGAUAACUUGCCGAAAGGCAAGCUAAUACCGCAUGUGAAGUAUUUUUAAAGCCUUCGGGCGCUUGGAGAUGGGCUUGCGUCUGAUUAGCUAGUUGGUAGGGUAAUGGCCUACCAAGGCGAUGAUCAGUAGCUGGUCUGAGAGGACGACCAGCCAGACAGGGACUGCGACACGGCCCUGACUCCUACGGGAGGCAGCAGCAAGGAAUUUUGCGCAAUGGGCGAAAGCCUGACGCAGCGACGCCGCGUGAGGGAUGAAGACUUUCGGGUUGUAAACCUCUUUUCUUGAGGAAGAAUUAUGACGGUACUCAAGGAAUAAGUCAUGGCUAACUACGUGCCAGCCGCCGCAGUAACAC
rnacentral:rRNA from 1 species